GACGAACGCUGGCGGCGUGCUUAACACAUGCAAGUCGAACGGAAAGGCCCUGCUUUUGUGGGGUGCUCGAGUGGCGAACGGGUGAGUAACACGUGAGUAACCUGCCCUUGACUUUGGUAUAACUUCAGGAAACUGGGGCUAAUACCGGAUAGGAUCUCCUGCUGCAUGGUGGGGGUUGGAACGUUUCGGCGGUUGGGGAUGGACUCGCGGCUUAUCAGCUUGUUGGUGGGGUAGUGGCUUACCAAGGCUUUGACGGGUAGCCGGCCUGAGAGGGUGACCGGCCACAUUGGGACUGAGAUACGGCCCAGACUCCUACGGGAGGCAGCAGUGGGGAAUAUUGCACAAUGGGCGGAAGCCUGAUGCAGCAACGCCGCGUGCGGGAUGACGGCCUUCGGGUUGUAAACCGCUUUCGCCUGUGACGAAGCGUGAGUGACGGUAAUGGGUAAAGAAGCACCGGCUAACUACGUG
rnacentral:rRNA from 1 species